UACAGAGGUCUCAAGCGUUGUUCGGAUUCAUUGGGCGUAAAGGGUGCGUAGGUGGCGCCGUAAGUCAGGUGUGAAAUUUCGGAGCUUAACUCCGAAACUGCAUUUGAUACUGCGGUGCUUGAGGACUGGAGAGGAGACUGGAAUUUACGGGUGUAGCAGUGAAAUGCGUAGAGAUCGUAAAGGAAGACCAGUGGCGAAGGCGGGUCUCUGG
rnacentral:rRNA from 1 species